rnacentral:rRNA from 1 species
GACGAACGCUGGCGGCGUGCCUAAUACAUGCAAGUAGGACGCAGUUGCGAACGGGUGAGUAACGCGUAGGUAACUGCCUAUUAGAGGGGGAUAACUAUUGGAAACGAUAGCUAAUACCGCAUACUAGUAGAUGGACCUGCGUUGUAUUAGCUAGUAGGUAGGGUAAUGGCCUACCUAGGCGACGAUACAUAGCCGACCUGAGAGGGUGAUCGGCCACACUGGGACUGAGACACGGCCCAGACUCCUACGGGAGGCAGCAGUAGGGAAUCUUCGGCAAUGGACGAAAGUCUGACCGAGCAACGCCGCGUGAGUGAAGAAGGUUUUCGGAUCGUAAAACUCUGUUGUUAGAGAAGCGGUAUCUAACCAGAAAGCCACGGCUAACUACGUGCCAGCAGCCGCGGUAAUAC